AGCGCGGAUGGUGCGUGGCGAUCUGCCGCGGCUCCUGUCCAUGGCGGCCUUCGGCGCGGUUCUGGGCCCCGUUGCGCUG
rnacentral:tRNA from 1 species